UACGUAGGGGGCAAGCGUUGUCCGGAUUUAUUGGGCGUAAAGAGCGUGUAGGCGGCUUGACAGGUCUGCUGUGAAAACUCGAGGCUCAACCUCGAGAUGUCGGCGGAAACCGUCUGGCUAGAGUCCGGAAGAGGAGAGUGGAAUUCCUGGUGUAGCGGUGAAAUGCGCAGAUAUCAGGAGGAACACCGGUGGCGAAGGCGGGAUCCUGGGCCAGUACUGACGCUGAGGAGCGAAAGCGUGGGGAGCAAACAGG
rnacentral:rRNA from 1 species